rnacentral:lncRNA from 1 species
ACUGAAAGGAUGUGCGGGUAGAAAUGAGCAAUUGCAACUAGAAGAGCCUGUGUGCCCACAAUCAGGGGUGAGGAGGAGUGUCAUGGAGCAGUCAAAUCCAAGAUGGGUGUUCCUGAUCUGCCUGUAGCUCUCCUCCAACCCAGACUCCUUUCAAACUGUGGCUCCACCAUCUUCAAUAUGGAGCUUCCAAGAUCGCCCUGCUGCCCUGCAUCAAGCCUGCAAAAGAGGAUAGGGGGUCAGGCCACUCAUAUUUCAUUGGUCCAAAUUCAGUCACAUGGCCACACUCACUGCAAGGGAAGCUGGGAAAUGGAGUCUAGCUCUGUACCCAAGAAGCAAAGAAAAACAGAUUUGAUGAAGACUUAGUCAAUCUCUGCAACAAUGAAACAGAUAAGAAGGCAAAAGAAAAAGAAUUUUACAACCUGAGGAGGGAGAGAAAAUUCAGUUAACAAAAAGAUAGACUACACCCCAUGGUAGUCUGCAGAAUUCUACCUACCCAAAUCAUGUGUUAAAUUGUGAAAGAA